AGAGUUUGAUCCUGGCUCAGGACGAACGCUGGCGGCGUGCUUAACACAUGCAAGUCGAGCGGGGUUUAUCGGAUUAGCUUGCUAAACUGAUAAACCUAGCGGCGGACGGGUGAGUAACGCGUGAGCAAUCUGCCUCAUACAGGGGGAUAACAGGUGGAAACACCUGCUAAUACCGCAUAAGACUCCACUACCGCAUGGUAGAGAAGUCAAAGGGAUUACCGGUAUGAGAUGAGCUCGCGUCCCAUUAGCUAGUUGGUAGGGUAAAGGCCUACCAAGGCGACGAUGGGUAGCCGACCUGAGAGGGUGAUCGGCCACACUGGGACUGAGACACGGCCCAGACUCCUACGGGAGGCAGCAGUGGGGAAUAUUGCACAAUGGAGGGAACUCUGAUGCAGCAACGCCGCGUGAGUGAAGAAGGUUUUCGGAUCGUAAAACUCUGUCAUUGGGGAAGAAUAAAUGACGGUACCCAAUGAGGAAGCCCCGGCUAACUACGUGCCAGCAGCCGCGGUAAUACGUAGGGGGCGAGCGUUGUCCGGAAUUACUGGGCGUAAAGGGUACGUAGGCGGCUAUAUAAGUCAGGUGUGAAAUACCAGUGCUUAACACUGGAAUUGCAUUUGAAACUGUGUAGCUUGAGUGCAGGAGAGGAAAGUGGAAUUCCUAGUGUAGCGGUGAAAUGCGUAGAGAUUAGGAGGAACACCAGUGGCGAAGGCGACUUUCUGGUCUGUAACUGACGCUGAGGUACGAAAGCGUGGGUAGCGAACAGGAUUAGAUACCCUGGUAGUCCACGCCGUAAACGAUGGAUACUAGGUGUAGGGGGUAUCGACCCCCCCUGUGCCGGAGUUAACGCAAUAAGUAUCCCGCCUGGGGAGUACGGUCGCAAGACUGAAACUCAAAUGAAUUGACGG
rnacentral:rRNA from 1 species